rnacentral:SRP_RNA from 1 species
UCGUGCUAGAUGGGGAGGUAGCGGUGCCCUGUAACCUGCAACCCGCUAUAGCAGGAUCAAUAGCCAUAGUGCGGCUUAUGCUGUGCUGCUGAAAAGCAGUAAGUGAUGUUGAAAUUUCAACCUAUCGCAAUGAAUGCCCACUAAACCCCGUCAGGCCCGGAAGGGAGCAGCGGUAAGUGUCGUAUUCGUGUGCCGAUGGACCUCUGGAAUGGAGUUAACUGCUGCUUUGAUGUUGUUUUCAGGUGGGUCAAACUAUGGUGCACGG